rnacentral:rRNA from 1 species
GACGAACGCUGGCGGCGUGCUUAACACAUGCAAGUCGAACGGAAAGGCCCUGCUUUUGUGGGGUGCUCGAGUGGCGAACGGGUGAGUAACACGUGAGUAACCUGCCCUUGACUUUGGGAUAACUUCAGGAAACUGGGGCUAAUACCGGAUAGGAGCUCCUCCUGCAUGGUGGGGGUUGGAAAGUUUCGGCGGUUGGGGAUGGACGCGCGGGUUAUCAGCUUGUUGGUGGGGUAGUGGUUUACCAAGGCUUUGACGGGUAGCCGGCCUGGGAGGGGGGCCGGGCACAAUGGGCCUGAGAGAGGGAGCAGAGUGGUACGGGAGGCAGCAGUGGGGAAUAUUGCGCAAUGGGCGGGAGCCUGAUGCGGCAGCGUCGCGUGCGGAAUGACGUCUUUCGGGUUGUAAACCGCGUACGCCUGUGACGAGGCGUGAGUGACGGUAAUGGGUAAAGAAGCACCGGCUAACUACGUG